rnacentral:rRNA from 1 species
ACAUCACUUCACAUAGAAGCACCCCCUGCUCAAUGAAAAAUUUUAAUAGCCGCUCUAGCGCUAAGGUAGCGUAAUAAUUAGCCUUUUAAUUGAGGGCAAGUAUGAAAGGGAGAAUCGGGAGGCAUAUUUUAAUUUACAAAUUGAAUUUUUCUAGUAGUGAAAAAACUACUAUACCAUUUCAAGACGAUAAGACCCUAUGAAGCUAAUUACUGAGUAAUGAUUAUAAAAAUAAUAUGUAAAUUAUUUGGGGUAAAGAAUAAUAACAAUAUUAUUUUGAUAGUGCGAUACAGAUCUUAUAUAGAAUAUAAAGAAUCAGCUACUCUAGGGAUAACAGCGUAAUAGUUAUAAAAGACCACAUUGAAAUAACUGUU